GGGGCUGACACGGUUUCGACCGUGGUCAUGCCGCUGCCGUGGGAGCGUGCCGAGGGUGCUCAGCGUGACCUCGUACAAAACGCGCUGAGACCUAUACAUGCCAACGAUGAUCUGGCUCUCGCAGCCUAAAACGCUGUGACGAUCCGCCCCUGACGCCUCGUAGGGGGACCGGAUCGACAUGACGAGGCCCCUGCCCGCUGACCUCGACCGUCGGGCGCAGCGGGGACUCCUGAGACGGUGUGGAUCGCGGAAGCUGCCUGAUCGUGGAGCACCGCGUCCGAGAUCAUCCAUGAUCUGCGCACGGAGAGCCCACAGCAUCGGGACCGCGGGACCCGGGUUCGACUCCCGGCAGCUCCACCC
rnacentral:tmRNA from 1 species